rnacentral:rRNA from 1 species
ACAGACCCAAGAUAAUAUUAACGGCGUAAAGCACGACUAAACACCAGUACACCUAUUAAGGUUGAAACCAAGCCGGGCUGUAAAAAGCCAUAAGCCACAAUAACAAUAACANCUNNANAACNNGACANNCCCACUCGUGAAAGUUGGGACACAAACUAAGAUUAGAUACCCUACUAUGCCCAACCAUAACAUAACAAUAAAAUCACCCAUUGUUCGCCAAAUAACUACGAGUUAAAACUUAAAAUUUAAAAGACUUGACGGUACCUCACAUCAACCUAGAGGAGCCUGUUCAAUAACCGAUACUCCACGAUCAACCCGACCCCCCCUAGCCUACAGUCUAUAUACCGCCGUCGCCAGCCUACCUUGUGAAAGAAACAAAGUAAGCCAAACAAUCACACACACUAAAACGACAGGUCGAGGUGUAACUUAUGGGUGGGACAAGAAUGGGCUACAUUUCCCAAUACAGGAAACACGGAUAAACCAUGAAACAAGAAACUGAAGGAGGAUUUAGCAGUACACUAGGAACAAAAUACCCAGUCGAAGACCGCAAUGAGGUGCGUACACACCGCCCGUCAUCCCUGUCAACCCAACAAAAAAUCAAUAAACAACCACCUAAUACUAAA